CAGUAGCGCGGUAAUACAGAGGGUGCGAGCGUUAAUCGGAUUUACUGGGCGUAAAGCGUGCGUAGGCGGCUUCUUAAGUCGGAUGUGAAAUCCCUGAGCUUAACUUAGGAAUUGCAUUCGAUACUGGGAAGCUAGAGUAUGGGAGAGGAUGGUAGAAUUCCAGGUGUAGCGGUGAAAUGCGUAGAGAUCUGGAGGAAUACCGAUGGCGAAGGCAGCCAUCUGGCCUAAUACUGACGCUGAGGUACGAAAGCAUGGGGAGCAAACAGGAUUAGAUACCCCGGUAGUCCCUGUCUCUUAUACA
rnacentral:rRNA from 1 species